GAUGAAGAACGCAGCAAAAUGCGAUAAGUAAUGUGAAUUGCAGAAUUCAGUGAAUCAUCGAAUCUUUGAACGCACAUUGCGCCCGCCAGUAUUCUGGCGGGCAUGUCUGUUCGAGCGUCAUUUCAACCAUCAAGCCCCAGGCUUGUGUUGGGGACCUGCGGCUGCCGCAGGCCCUGAAAACCAGUGGCGGGCUCGCUAGUCACACCGAGCGUAGUAGCAUACACAUCGCUCAGGGCGUGCUGCGGGUUCCGGCCGUUAAACCCCUUUUUUACCCAAGGUUGACCUCGGAUCAGGUAGGAAGACCCGCUGAACUUAAGCAUAUCAAUAAGCGGAGGA
rnacentral:misc_RNA from 1 species